rnacentral:rRNA from 1 species
AGUGAACGCUGGCGGCGUGCUUAACACAUGCAAGUCGAACGAUGAAGUCCUUCGGGAUGGAUUAGUGGCGCACGGGUGAGUAAUAUAUAGGUAAUGUGCCUCUUAGUCUGGGAUAGCCACUGGAAACGGUGAUUAAUACCGGAUACUCCUUCUGAUCUUAAGGUCAGUCGGGAAAGUUUUUCGCUAAGAGAUCGGCCUAUAUCCUAUCAGUUAGUUGGUGAGGUAACGGCUCACCAAGGCGAUGACAGGUAGCGGGUUUGAGAGGAUGAUCCGCCACACUGGUACUGAGACACGGACCAGACUCCUACGGGAGGCAGCAGUGAGGAAUAUUGCACAAUGGGGGAAACCCUGAUGCAGCAACGCCGCGUGGAGGAUGACGCAUUUCGGUGUGUAAACUCCUUUUAUAUGUCAAGAAAAUGACGGUAGCAUAUGAAUAAGCACCGGCUAACUCCGU